UUGAAGUGGGCGGUGAAAGGGCCUGAAUUUCGAUCAUCCCAAAACCUUCUGCAUAAAAUAUUCAUUUCAUAUAACAUGCAUACCCAUCUCAGGUGGCAAAUAGUCUAGAGUGCCGCACAUAGUCCGCCUUCAAUUAAAGCUGUAUUUAAACAAACAUUAUGGGUUUUAGGGAGUUUCCCAUCGUCUCCUUUUAUCUAUGGAAUUUUACCGUCUUCCGAUCGACGUAGAUCCGCAUUUUUAUAGUCAUACUGCUGACUUAUAUUAGCUUUAGACUUCAGGUUAUCUUCAUUAGUCUUUAGCUUUUGUAUCUCAUUGUCCAUACUGUCCACUUUAGUACAAAGUGUAGUAAUGGCUUUGAGUAGUUCUUCAAUUGUAUCUUCUUUUUUGUUCUCAGUCUGAGUAGUUUUGUCUUGAUAAGUAGUCUGCAACACCAUUCUUAUUAGUCUUUAUUACUUCAAUUGUAAAUGUAAAGUUUAAUAUAUUCAAUAUCAAUGUUCUAAUUUCUUUCAUUGUUA